ACUAGCAUGGUCUAGUGGUUAGGAUUCCUGGCUUUCACCCAGGCGGCCCGGGUUCGAUUCCCGGUGUAUGAA
rnacentral:tRNA from 1 species